ensembl:ncRNA C18F3.9 ncRNA
AGGUAGACCAGAAAUUUUGCAAUCGUUUCGAGACCCGAGCAUGUGCGCUCUGUUGCGCGCCUUUGCUACAGUACUUGCAUUUGUUUUGUUU